AUGGCUCACAACCCACAAAUUGUAUGCUGGAACAUGAGAGGCUUAAACAACCCAGCCAAGAGGAAAGUAGUUAGGGAGUUCUUUGCUUCGUUGAGAGUCAAUAUGGUGUGUCUACAGGAGACCAAGUUGGAGACCGUGGAUCAGUUUAUAGUAAUGCAAUGUCUUGGACCAUCUUUUGAUGGUUUUGCUUACUUGCCUGCGAUUGAGACGCGUGGUGGUAUUUUCCUUGCUUGGGACUCGACAUGCGUGACGGUUGAUCACCUGCAGUACGAUGUUAACUUCCUAACCGGCAAAGUACGGCAGCUUGAUGGAACCGAGUGGUGGAUCUCUGUGGUGUAUGCCCCCAGGGUGAUGAGCUAA
rnacentral:rRNA from 1 species